rnacentral:rRNA from 1 species
AGUGAACGCUGGCGGCAGGCCUAACACAUGCAAGUCGAGCGGCAGCGCGUCCGACCACCCUCGGGUGGUCGGAUGGCGGCGAGCGGCGGACGGGUGAGGAAUGCAUCGGAAUCUGCCUCGUUGUGGGGGAUAACGUAGGGAAACUUACGCUAAUACCGCAUACGACCUACGGGUGAAAGUGGGGGACCUUCGGGCCUCACGCGAUGAGAUGAGCCGAUGCCGGAUUAGCUAGUUGGCGGGGUAAAGGCCACCAAGGCGACGAUCCGUAGCUGGUCUGAGAGGAUGAUCAGCCACACUGGAACUGAGACACGGUCCAGACUCCUACGGGAGGCAGCAGUGGGGAAUAUUGGACAAUGGGGGGCAACCCUGAUCCAGCCAUGCCGCGUGUGUGAAGAAGGCCUUC